GACAGAGGUGCCAAGCGUUAGGCGGAAUCACUGGGCUUAAAGCGUGUGUAGGCGGAAUUGUAAGUACCUUGUGAAAGCCCCGGGCUCAACCUGGGAAUUGCAUUCGAGACUGAAUAGCUAGGGUGCGGUAGAGGGAAGCGGAAUUUCCGGUGUAGCGGUGAAAUGCGUAGAUAUCGGAAGGAACAUCAGUGGCGAAAGCGGCUUCCUGGACCAGCACCGACGUUCAGGCACGAAAGCGUGGGGAGCAAACAGG
rnacentral:rRNA from 1 species